AAAAAUGAAUAAAUAUCUACUACAAAUCGACAAUGAAGUUGAUUGGAAUGAUUUAGGGUAUCAAAAAGUAAUGUAUUUAUCCUACUUAAGCCGUUACCGUCGAUUAUACCAAUACUUUGUAAUCUUUAUAAAAAUACCAAAAUCAUAAGCAAGUCUGCGUUUAUAAGACAGAUUAAUAUUGCGUCAGUUUCGACAAAUCCAUCACAUCUUGAGGGACCUGAAACUGAAAGAUGGUCUCCAGUUAACAAUCACCAGAUAAACCGUAACACCAAAACAUACAGCUGUAGAUCUCCGGUUAACUGUUUAUAGGGAUAUAACACACAAAACUACAUAUUUUGAACAUUUACACAACUCAAACCAUCUGCAAUGAUUAGGGCGGUGCGGGUUGUUCAUGAGGGACAACAUAGAACUUAGAUUCGAAUUUCUGAUUGGGCAGAAUCAGUGCUUUCUUUUUGAAAGACAACAACUUUAUUUAUCAUGCACUUACAGAUUCCCAACUUUGCAGAUUAUUUACAUUCACAGACUAUAUAUAUAAUAGGGGCAUUUUAACAGAAACAUUUCCAAAAUCACAGAUGAGUAAAGUAUAAUGUUUAACACUAUUGUUAGGUAUUAGAUAUAUCAUUAUUUGCUUGCAUUUUUGUUAUUUCAGAUUGAUUCUUACAAAUAAAACAUUCAUGCUUUACAGUAGGGUGGAUUAUUUGUAUAAAUCAUGUUUAUUUGUGGAAAUCAUGUCAUUUGACUGUCAGAGCUGAAGUCAGAAAUGGAACUGCAGCAUGUUAGAAGAACCACUAGACUAGACUAUUAUUUCUAGAUAGAGAUAGCACUGAACCAUACAGUAUAUCAUCAAAUUAAAUCAUCACAUCUCAGAUGUGUUUCCAUCUGCUGCUUCACACCUGAAAUACUUUGUCUUUCAGCAAAUCAGAUGAUAAAGACUGUUUAGCUGUUGUUUUGUACAUGACAGUUUUAUUAUUGUUGAUGAAUGUGUUUGUGAUCUGCAGGGUGAAGUGAUUCAGUACAAUAAACUGCAGGCCGACCCAAAGCAGGGGAAAUCCCUGGAUAUUGGUAAAAACUAUAAACUGUACAGCAAUAUUCAUUUAAUGUGUUCGAAUGGAUGCAGAAAUGUGUUCUUCUCUCAUCAAACAGAUUAUAUGUGUGUGUUUGUGUGUGUCAGUGCUGAAGAAGGUAAAGCAUUGUCUGGUGGAGAACAUGAGUUCAGGAACUGCAGAUGUUCAGGGACUCCGCAGAGCCAUUCUGUAAAAUGAUGGUCUGGUGAAGAGGCUGGAGAAAACAGCUCAACUUUAUAAAGGUGUUUCAUUCAUACUUUUGCUUCAUUUAACCAAUGACCGAGAGAGUUUAAUAUGGAAAUAAUCUGUGUAUGUUGUGUGUGCUUUGUACGAGCUCUUACAAAGGUACAGUAGAUGAUUCCUUGAUCCAUGUUCAUCUUGUUCAAAAUAUGUAUGUCUACUGUGGAGGAUGAAACACAACAAUUCACCACCUAGUUGCCAACAAUAGGGCAGUAGGAACUGAUUCAACCCAAGAAAGAAGAUUCAGUAAUCUCUCAAAUGAGACAAUGGAAGGAGGAUAGUGUCACACUCAUGGAUGAGAUCAAGGGAGAUUUGACAGGAACCAACAGAAAGUUGAUGAAUGAAUGGAACAAGCUGCACCUUGAAGGAGGAUUCCAAUACUGAAGAUUGAGGGAGACAGAGCAAGUGCAAAAAGCUUGCACUCAAGUACCUCCGUGACAAGAUGGAACACAUGGGUACAGAGUGAGUACUGGGUCUGACAAGGGAGCAGUUCUACUGGCCAUUCAUGAAAGUUGAAGUGGAAAAGUGUAUGACUGCAAAAGUGCCCAUGCAUAAA
ensembl:lncRNA